rnacentral:rRNA from 1 species
UACGUAGGGCGCAAGCGUUAUCCGGAAUUAUUGGGCGUAAAGAGCUCGUAGGCGGUUUGUCGCGUCUGCCGUGAAAGUCCGGGGCUCAACUCCGGAUCUGCGGUGGGUACGGGCAGACUAGAGUGAUGUAGGGGAGACUGGAAUUCCUGGUGUAGCGGUGAAAUGCGCAGAUAUCAGGAGGAACACCGGUGGCGAAGGCGGGUCUCUGGGCCGUAACUGACGCUGAGGAGCGAAAGCAUGGGGGAGCGAACAGG